CACCACCCUCAGCAGUCUGGGAGCAGAGGCACCGACUCUCAGUUUGAGCCUGGCUGGGAACAUUACCAUGGCCAGAGUCAGAGCGUGAUUUGCAGUCUAAAAGACUUGCUAACAGCUUGCUGUGGAGAUAGAAGGAAAGGAGAAAAGGAUGGUCAACAUAAAAUAGCAGUCUCUUUCUUGAGAGCCUGAGACAAGCACUGCUCGAUCCUGCAACCCCGCUUCAGUUGCCUGCACGUGGAUUUGCAUAGACAGACACUGCCCCAAACGAUCCAGGAGUCAAAGGACGCUUUCUCUGAUGUACUUGGCUCUUAGUGCUGCUAAGGAAACUGGGAAGGGAACACGGGCCCCAGCUGAGUGCUGGAUCGCUUUGCUCAACUUGCAGUAUCCCUACUUCUGCUGAAACAAUCUAUGAAUUUAGGAGACACUGCAAAGCAAACUGAUACUCAACUUGUUUUGACUGAU